CAUCUGAGUUCAAAGUACAGGUUUAUUUUUCUCAUUUAGAAAUGGAAUUUAUCAUACAGAUUUCUCACACUUUUGUUUCAACAUGAAAUAGAAACAUCUGGGAACACAGUGAACGUAAAGUUCAAACUUCUACAUUUUCUGUGUGAAACAAGCAUAUUAUCUCUGAUUAUUAAAUGUAGUCCUAGUAGAUGAGAUUUCAUUAGUCUCAUUUUUAUAUUGGCUGGUUAUCAAUAGAUCAGUGAAUUCACCUAUGAAAAAUGGUAAGACUACGUCACCCUUAUGAGGUAGUGAGUUUCUGUUAUUUCUGUUUUACAGACAGAAUUGUGAGGCUCAGGGGGAGAUGUAACGAUUACAAUGUCACAAAGGAAAUCAGCAGCAAAACAUGGGAAUACUAAGCUGGUAUUCUUACAGUUAUUUCCUACAGAGGUCUACUUCAUGUACCGUCUGUUACAUUUUGCAAACACAAUGCCUCCUAUCCCACCCCGUGUGAACGCUCUUCUUCACUUAAAGGAAGCAUUGGAAACCAGCAUCUUAAUCUGGACCAUUUGGUCAUCCUACUUCAGUGCCUUCGCUUUGAAGGCAGCAUGAGGGACACCUUCGGCAAAUACACCACAAGCAGGCCUUCCCAUUUCGGAAUUAAAACCAAACCUCUGCUAUUCGUGAACGUCACGUGGCUUUGUCUGGCACUGAGGUGAGGCGAAACUUCUGUUGCCUUUUUCAAACACAGGCCUGUUACAGCACUGCAAGGUCGUGUUGCAUCAACAUAAGAUUUCAAAAUAUAGUAAAACCAACUUGGCUUCAGAUUAUUUAUUUAUUUAUUUAUUUAGUGUCUAAGAGGGCAGCAGCAUUUCUGACAGAAAGAGGAUUUGGAACAUCUGUCCUUAGCUUACCACUGACCCUAGGGAAGCAACCCAUAAUCCGCAUAUUUUAAUUGUCACUGGGGUUUGUGGGCUGUGGAGGGGUGGGAAUGUGAGCAAGUAUAUUUCUGGAGUUAUAAUUAAUCCUACUUAUUGUACGUGUGUGAGUUAUGUGUCAGCCUCAUCAUUGUGGGAAUAAUGGAGUUACAAAGAGAGGUGGAGGUACUGGUUGGAGAAAGAGGAAAUUAUAGCACUUUCACUGUCUUUAGUCACCCAUGUGCCUUGGAAAGGCUCUCUUAAAACAUAGUAGCAUGCUGGCAAGAAUUAUCCCUUAGUUUUCUACAGCCUGAGGAUUAUUCCAAGUGUGUCCCUAGAGCUUUUUGGCUAGUGAGAUUCACUAGGAAUUUGAAUUUGAGGCAGCAGCAGAAGUCAGUGCUUGCUAAAUGACACAAAUUGGGGCUUCCAGUCAUUUUGACAAUAGAUGGAGCAGAAGCACCGGAUCAGAGUCCCCUGCCCACCUCUGCUGCUCCCUGGGACACACUGCUGCUCAGCAUCUGCCCCACUCUCCCAAAGGAGCCUGGAAAGAAAGAAAUGAAACAUUCCGCAGCAACUUUUUUCACUUUGUAGUAGGCAGUUAAGAUAUACCCUGGCUAUUAUUUAAUGCAAAAUCUCUUUUGAAACGUAGUCAUCUUCUAAAACAGCAUUGAGUAUUUCAAAAUUUUCCUAUGAAA
ensembl:lncRNA